rnacentral:tRNA from 1 species
GGGUCCGUAGCUUAGGUGGUCAGAGCGCUUUCUCUACAAAAAAGAGGUCGCAAGGUUCAAUUCCUUGCCGGUCCUACCA